rnacentral:rRNA from 1 species
GACCGGGAUAACCCUGGGAAACUGGGGAUAAUACUGGAUAGGCAAUUUUUCCUGUAAUGGUUUUUUGUUUAAAUGUUUUUUCGCCUAAGGAUGGGUCUGCGGCCGAUUAGGUAGUUGGUUAGGUAAUGGCUUACCAAGCCGUUGAUCGGUACGGGUUGUGAGAGCAAGAGCCCGGAGAUGGAACCUGAGACAAGGUUCCAGGCCCUACGGGGUGCAGCAGGCGCGAAACCUCCGCAAUGUGAGAAAUCGCGACGGGGGGAUCCCAAGUGCCAUUCUUAACGGGAUGGCUUUUCAUUAGUGUAAAGAGCUUUUGGAAUAAGGGCUGGGCAAGACCGGUGCCAGCCGCCGCGGUAACACCGGCAGCUCUAGUGGUAGCAGUUUUUAUUGGGCCUAAAGCGUCCGUAGCCGGUUUAAUAAGUCUCUGGUGAAAUCCUGUAGCUUAACUGUGGGAAUUGCUGGAGAUACUAUUAGACUUGAGACCGGGAGAGGUUAGAGGUACUCCCAGGGUAGAGGUGAAAUUCUGUAAUCCUGGGAGGACCGCCUGUUGCGAAGGCGUCUAACUGGAACGGUUCUGACGGUGAGGGACGAAAGUUAGGGGCGCGAACCGGAUUAGAUACCCGGGUAGUCCUAACUGUAAACGAUGCGGACUUGGUGUUGGGGUGGCUUUGAGCUGCUCCAGUGCCGAAGGGAAGCUGUUAAGUCCGCCGCCUGGGAAGUACGGUCGCAAGACUGAAACUUA